rnacentral:lncRNA from 1 species
UUUUAUUAUCCCUGCUUUAACAGAGGGAGGACUUGAAUCUCGAGUUAAAGUAAUUUGCUCAGGAUUGUAAGAUUAACCAGAUGGUGGUAAAAUAAAACUCAAUGUACCAAACUUUGGAUACAGAGCUGCUCAAGUUUUCCUAUAUUCUCCAGGUGGAAUGGGAGUGGGACUUUACCAGCUUCCGUGAGGUGAGCUCUGCCACCAAGAAAAGACUAGCAGCUUAAAGCAGUCACCUUCUAAGAACUCCAAACUGUCAGCUGUACAAAUGGCUUUAAAUUGAAAAUGAGCAGAAACUGCUGCAGCAGCUACUAGGGAAGCUCUUACUAGGUAAAACUGAAUGAGAAUGUAUGAGUGACUCUAGAAUAAAGAAAUUCAACUGUACAUACUUGGUAGUAGUCAUGUACAGGGGCAUAGAGAGGGGCUUUGGGAGUUAGAGAACUUGGGUUUAGGCAAUAAAGCUGUACAGCCUGAAAGAAUUUAGAAACAACAAUAAAAAGACCUAAGAUUUGGUCUGCUUUUUAUUAUCACUGUGCGCCAGCAGGUCUAGCAAUGUUAGUGAUAAGAUACUACUGCUACUGGGCAGAUGGCUCCCACUCCCUCUUUUACCUUGGUGCACCAUUGUCUAACAGGGAUAUUUUAAGGAUGGAAAGGACUGCAUAGAAAACCCUAAA